rnacentral:rRNA from 1 species
UACGAAGGGUGCAAGCGUUAAUCGGAAUUACUGGGCGUAAAGCGUGCGCAGGCGGUUCGGAAAGAAAGAUGUGAAAUCCCAGGGCUUAACCUUGGAACUGCAUUUUUAACUACCGGGCUAGAGUGUGUCAGAGGGGGGUGGAAUUCCACGUGUAGCAGUGAAAUGCGUAGAUAUGUGGAGGAACACCGAUGGCGAAGGCAGCCCCCUGGGAUAACACUGACGCUCAUGCACGAAGGCGUGGGGAGCAAACAGG